AGAGUUUGAUCCUGGCUCAGAUUGAACGCUGGCGGAAUGCUUUACACAUGCAAGUCGAACGAUGAAGUCUAGCUUGCUAGACGGAUUAGUGGCGAACGGGUGAGUAAUAUAUCGGAACGUAUCCAUUAAUGGGGGAUAACUAGUCGAAAGAUUGGCUAAUACCGCAUACGUCCUACGGGAGAAAGCUAGGGACCUUCGGGCCUGGCGUUAAUGGAGCGGCCGAUAUCUGAUUAGCUAGUUGGUGAGGUAAAGGCUCACCAAGGCGACGAUCAGUAGCUGGUCUGAGAGGACGACCAGCCACACUGGAACUGAGACACGGUCCAGACUCCUACGGGAGGCAGCAGUGGGGAAUUUUGGACAAUGGGCGCAAGCCUGAUCCAGCCAUUCCGCGUGAGUGAAGAAGGCCUUCGGGUUGUAAAGCUCUUUCGCAAGGGAAGAAAACUUACCCUCUAACAUAGGGUGAGGAUGACGGUACCUUGAUAAGAAGCACCGGCUAACUACGUGCCAGCAGCCGCGGUAAUACGUAGGGUGCGAGCGUUAAUCGGAAUUACUGGGCGUAAAGCGUGCGCAGGCUGUUUUGUAAGUCAGAUGUGAAAUCCCUGGGCUCAACCUAGGAACUGCGUUUGAAACUACAAGACUAGAAUAUGUCAGAGGGGGGUAGAAUUCCACGUGUAGCAGUGAAAUGCGUAGAGAUGUGGAGGAAUACCAAUGGCGAAGGCAGCCCCCUGGGAUAAUAUCGACGCUCAUGCACGAAAGCGUGGGGAGCAAACAGGAUUAGAUACCCUGGUAGUCCACGCCCUAAACGAUGUCUACUAGUUGUUGGUGGAGUAAAAUCCAUGAGUAACGCAGCUAACGCGUGAAGUAGACCGC
rnacentral:rRNA from 1 species